rnacentral:tRNA from 1 species
UGCAUUAUGCCAGAUUAAAUGGGUUACUUUGAUGAGGUAAAAUAUGAGGUAUUCCUCUGAUGCUU